rnacentral:rRNA from 1 species
UACGGAGGAUGCAAGCGUUAUCCGGAAUGAUUGGGCGUAAAGCGUCCGCAGGUGGCUAUGUAAGUCUGCUGUUAAAGAGUGAGGCUCAACCUCAUAAAGGCAGUGGAAACUACAUGGCUAGAGUGCGUUCGGGGCAGAGGGAAUUCCUGGUGUAGCGGUGAAAUGCGUAGAGAUCAGGAAGAACACCGGUGGCGAAAGCGCUCUGCUAGGCCGCAACUGACACUGAGGGACGAAAGCUAGGGGAGCGAAUGGG